CCUACGGGAGGCUGCAGUGGGGAAUAUUGGACAAUGGGGGGAACCCUGAUCCAGCCAUGCCGCGUGUGUGAAGAAGGCCCUCGGGUUGUAAAGCACUUUCAGUGAGGAAGAACGCCUGGUGGUUAAUACCCAUCAGGAAAGACAUCACUCACAGAAGAAGCACCGGCUAACUCCGUGCCAGCAGCCGCGGUAAUACGGAGGGUGCGAGCGUUAAUCGGAAUUACUGGGCGUAAAGCGCGCGUAGGUGGCUUGAUAAGCCGGUUGUGAAAGCCCCGGGCUCAACCUGGGAACGGCAUCCGGAACUGUCAAGGUAGAGUGCAGGAGAGGAAGGUAGAAUUCCCGGUGUAGCGGUGAAAUGCGUAGAGAUCGGGAGGAAUACCAGUGGCGAAGGCGGCCUUCUGGACUGACACUGACACUGAGGUGCGAAAGCGUGGGUAGCAAACAGGAUUAGAUACCCCUGUAGUC
rnacentral:rRNA from 1 species